rnacentral:lncRNA from 1 species
AAAAAAAAAAUGACAGAUGAGGACAAAGUAGUCGGACUAAGAAUUUCACUUUCAAAUCACGUGGUGUCUGAUUUGAUACCGAUUUGCAUGACUUUGGGUUUCUCCAACUAAAUCCGUCUUCGGUUAAAUAUGUGUGUGUGUGUGUGUGUGUGUGUGUGUGUGUGUGUGUGUGUGUGUGUGUCUGUCUGUCUGUCUGCCUGUCUGUGUUUAACUGAGGAUCAAUAACAAGAGAUGCACGCAGUGGCAAUGAUGCACGCCGACUCAUUCACUCUACUCAAAAAUACUGAGUACAUUUUACAGGGAAUUGAAGAAUUCACACCAGCGUCAACUGGUAAUACUCUCUCUCUCUCUCUCUCUCUCUCUCUUUAAAUAUAAAUAUGUGUGUUUGUAUAGCUGUAUGUAUGUGGGUAUCUAUCUAUAUGUAUGUAUAUAUACAUAUAUGUAUGCAUAUAUAUAUGUAUAUGUAUAUAUAUAUAUAUAUGUGUGUGUGUAUAUGUAUGUAUAUAUGUAUGUAAUAUAUAUAUAUAUAUAUAUAUAUAUACAUAUGAACAUACAUGUACAUAUAUAUAUAUAUAUAUAUAUAUAUAUAUAUAUAUAUAUACAUAUAUAGAAAUUCAGGGUGAGUACUUGAUAAUUGUAAGCACUUGUAUAUACCGUUUGGCGGUGUAGAAUUCUACAUUGAGAGAAGGACGAGAUAGACGCUUCAUUUUUAUGCUGUUGCCGCAUUAUGUCGUACGUGAAUGAGAGGAUUUGCAUCCCUAACGUAGAAUUUUUGAUGUAAUACAUGUCCUUGAGGUAGUAGUUGUGCGCGGCUGAAGAAGGCCAUAUACACACAUUAUGCAUUGUUAUAAAUCCGUCUAAUAAAGGCCCGAAACAUAUGUACCGCUGAAUCCUUGGCAUCAUGUUUUUAUUUUGAUUAAUAUAUACAUAUAUAGAUAGAUAGAUAGAUAGAUAGAUAGAUAGAUAGAUAGAUAGAUAUCGUUGUACCCGUUGCGUAUACUCACAAAUGUGUGUAUGUGGUUGUGUGUGUGUGUGUGAGGGAGAUAAUGCGUGAAAGAAGUGAAGAGAGAGAGAGAGAGAGAAGGGGAGAGAGAGAGAGAAGGAAAGCGCGAUUAUAAAAAAGAAGGUAGAAUAAAUAUGCUAAUAAUUAGAUUUUCAUGAGAGAUGCAUGAAGCGAGAAUCACCUGCGAGAUCGUCUCCAUUGCGUUUCAGGCUCGCACACGCCAACACACACCGAGAUCUACGAGAAUAGUACAAAUAACGACGGCCGGCAGAGAAGAGAGUAAUAGAGCCCAGCAUGUUGUCUGAAAUGCUUUGGAAGACAACAGCGGAUUUCAUUGAUGAAUAGAGAAAGGAAAGCAUGAGAAAGAGAUUACGACCAAUGGAAAUGGUUUCGGUGCGACAAGUGCUUCGUAGGAACAUGACGUGUUUCUCAUCUAAUUAGAACAUUCUAGUAACUAUAAUAAGUAUUAUCAUUAUCAUCAUCAUCAUUAUUAUUAUUAUUAUUGUCAUUGUUGUUGUUGUUGUUGUUGUUGUCGUCGUUGUUGUUAUUAUUGUUAUCAUUAUUAUUGGACAAGGUUCCCGACCUAAUCGAGCUGUUGCCCAACGGAGCACAACUCCAAGUCGUGUUGGAAGGCAGAAGAGAGCGAAGGUGCUACAUUUGGGGGUCUAACAUACCUUCGAAGGCCCUCUGCCCGCAACAACAGCGAAAUGGAGCUUGAGGAACGGCGGCUCUGCUCCCACCACCACCACCACCACCACCACAAUCAUUUAUCGCCUGACCGUUGUGCCUUGUUCCGGUUACUGCUUGACCAAGCUGGAGCGUUUUUCAUUUAAAUUCUGGUGGAAGGGACGCGUUCAAACGGUCAAGCAUCCUUUGAGUACUAGAUUAGGUAUCGUGUGGCUCCUAAUUUGCGGAAACGCUCUUAGGUUACGCCACCUGCAAUUAUAGUGGAGGCACAUGGCCGAGUGGUUAGAGCAGCGGACUCGCGGUCGAGGGAUCGCGGGUGCGAAUCUCAGAACGGGCGAUGUGUGUGUUUAUGAGCGAAAACACCUAAGCUCCACGCGGCUCCGGCAGAAGGUAAUGGCGAAACUUCUGCUGACUCUUUCGCCACAACUUUCACUCUUUCCUCCUGCAUCUUGCAGCUCACUUGCGAUGGACCGGCGUCCCGUCCAGGUAGGGAACCUAUUCGCCAAGUAACCAGGCAUGGCUCUAGAAGGAACAAACAAAAAAACAACCUGCAAUUAUAUCCGGACGAUAAGUGUGUGUGGCUCGGUUUGUGAGGCUCGUUUUCCGCAGCUCAUCCCCUUGUCGGAGCUGCAGUCCUGGGUGAAGAAAAGCCCGAGACUUGGUGCCUGGCACCUAAAAUGUCGUCAGGCGCCCACAGCCCUCUACCAGUCGAGCAAUGAGAUCGGUGUAAGAAAAUCAUAGAGGAUUAGUGGCGGAGAUGUGCGACGAUGUUCUCGAAUAGACUCUGGGCGCCGACGAGAACGAACUGGCUUCUCUGCUUCGGACAACUUUCCGGUCGGGAAAUAUCAUGGAUAAUUUCCAGAUGUCCUCGGCCUGGAAGUGUUACCGGGGGGAGGGCACUACCGAUUCGAAAUAAACUCUACAGGCAAGGAUGUGCUGUUAGACUAACUUGGCUAAGGUGUGCGCAGAGUGACGAAACAGUUUUGAACGCCCUCGUUCAGGGUCCAGGCAUUGCUUACUUGAGAGGUUAUGUAAAACAGUUGAUAUUAGUUGUGGGACGGAUUUGUCUGUCAAUCGAAUCUGUAGUGAUGAGUGCCUACCACCCUCCUUCAAUUGGGCAAACAACGCAGUUCUCCUUUGUCUGGCGGCUCUAACGAAACAGGUUGUUUGAUGGACAAAUUUGAAAGACAUGAGGACAGAUACAUUCCUCUUCGGUAGAGCUCUCAUUGACUUCAAGUUUCAUUUAAAAAGAAAAAUGAGAGUGGAGAGAGUAGUGCUGUCCUCGAGUGAAUUUAUUGAAAAGUGGGUGAAAGUUGCGAAAAUGGCAAAAGUGGAUGGUCUCACUGUAAGAGUAGAACUGUGAGUCGGAGAGAAGGAAUUGGAGAGAGCACAUUUGGGGUUUCAGGGAAAUAUUGGGCAGUGGGGUUCCUCCAUUAUCCCUAGAGGCUUUCUUGUAUCAAGAGUUCCCCAUCUCUAUCAUCUUCCCCGCCACUUUUUUAAAACUUUGUAUGCUAUACAUACGUCCCUUCUUUUUCAGUGUAUACCGUGUAUACAUUAUUUCUUUCAUUUUUUUCUAUCAUUUCAUUAUAUGUAAGCCCCCACACACUAUGUCUGCCUUUGCAUUGUCCCCCUCAUCUAGCACCCUUGUAAAAAUAAAUGAAAUCAUCAUAAUCAUCAUCAUAAUAAUCAUCAUCAUCAUCAUCAUCAUCAUCAUCAUCAUCAUCAUCGUCAUCAUCAUCGUCAUAAUUAUUAUUAUUAUUAUUAUUAUUAUUAUUAUUAUUAUUAUUAUUAUUAUUAUUAUUCAGUAGUUUUAUUUUUAUUUUUAUAGCGUGCUUUCACUUCACUACCGAGCGCAGCUCUGUGUGCCUUGGGUAUGUGCUGUGAUUUGUUGUGAUGCUCUGAUGGUUAUUGUAUGGAAAGUGUUCUGCGUAGGAUGUGUGCAGUGCCUAGUAGUGCAAUUUUCUGUAUGUUAUAUGUGUUUGUAAGUCCUGGUGUUUUUGUUAUGUAUUUGUCUGAAUAUUUUUUUAUCAUGCCUAAUGCACCUACUAUGAUAGGAAUUGUUUCUGUUUUCAGGUUCCACAUUCUAGUUACCUCUAUUUCCAGGUCUUUGUAUUUUGAGAGUUUCUCCAUUUCUUUUAGAGACACGUUGUCAUCUGCCGGUACUGAUACAUCAAUUAGAAAGCAUUUUUUUCUUCAUGGUCUCUGACAACUAUAUCUGGUCUGUUGGCCUUAAUUUCUCUAUCUGUGUGUAUCGGCAUAUCCCAGAGUAUGGUUGCUUUCUCGUUUUCUGUGACCUUUUCUGGUGUGUGCCUAUACCAUCUUUUUUCUGUUGUUAUUCCAUAAUGUUGGCAUAGCUUCCAAUGUAUGUAAGUUCCAACUCUGUCAUGUCUGUGAAUAUAUUCCUUCUUAGCCAGGACUGGGCAGCUAGAGAUAAUAUGAUUUAUUGUUUCUUGUCCAUCUCCACAUAUUCUGCAGUUACUUGUAAUAUUUCUUUUCAUUACAUGUUUUUGGUAAUUUCUGGUGGGGAGGCUUUGGUCUUGCGCUGCAAUUAAAAAUCCCUCUGUUUCUGCUUUGAGUCCUGAGCUUCUCAACCAUUGCUGGGAUUUUUCUUUGUCUAUUUCUUUUGCGUUUAGUUUAGUCCAGUAUUUACCAUGAAGGGGCUUUUCUUGCCAUCGUUUUAUCAUGGUUCGUUGCUGUUCUAUUUUUAGUUUGGAUUUCAUUUUUUUAUAGCUUUUGUUGUUUCUUCAUCUUCUUCUUCUUCUUCUUCAUGUUUAUUAGGUGGUAUGAUUUCUUGUUUGUAUUUGUCAGCUUCCUUAAAUACUGAGAACAGUUUUUUGUUUUGCUCGUGUUUUGCCGCUAUCUGGAUCAGUUUUCCUUCCUUCUGAAGUAGAUAUUUUUGCAGUCCUAUGGUGGUUAUUUUAUAGUAGUUUUCCAGCUGUAUAAGGCCUCUACCACCUUCUAUACGUUGUAUAUAUAGUCUUUCUAUGUCAGAUUUUGGGUGAUGCAUCCUAGAUCCUAUCAUUAUUUUUCUUGUUUUCCUGUCUAUUUUGGUCAGUUCAUUUCGUGUCCAGUUAAGGAUAUUGUAGCUGUAACUGGGACAGAUUAUUAUUAUUAUUAUUAUUAUUAUUAUUAUUAUUAUUAUUAUUAUUAUUAUUAUUAUUAUUAUUAUUAUUAUUAUUAUUAUUAAGUAGUUUUAUUUUUAUAGCGUGCUUUCACUUCACUACCGAGCGCAGCUCUGUGUGCCUUGGGUAUGUGCUGUGAUUUGUUGUGAUGCUCUGAUGGUUAUUGUAUGGAAAGUGUUCUGCGUAGGAUGUGUGCAGUGCCUAGUAGUGCAAUUUUCUGUAUGUUAUAUGUGUUUGUAAGUCCUGGUGUUUUUGUUAUGUAUUUGUCUGAAUAUUUUUUUAUCAUGCCUAAUGCACCUACUAUGAUAGGAAUUGUUUCUGUUUUCAGGUUCCACAUUCUAGUUACCUCUAUUUCCAGGUCUUUGUAUUUUAAGAGUUUCUCCAUUUCUUUUAGAGACACGUUGUCAUCUGCCGGUAUUGAUACAUCAAUUAGAAAGCAUUUUUUUCUUCAUGAUCUCUGACAACUAUAUCUGGUCUGUUGGCCUUAAUUUCUCUAUCUGUGUGUAUCGGCAUAUCCCAGAGUAUGGUUGCUUUCUCGUUUUCUGUGACCUUUUCUGGUGUGUGCCUAUACCAUCUUUUUUCUGUUGUUAUUCCAUAAUGUUGGCAAAGCUUCCAAUGUAUGUAGGUUCCAACUCUGUCAUGUCUGUGAAUAUAUUCCUUCUUAGCCAGGACUGGGCAGCUAGAGAUAAUAUGAUUUAUUGUUUCUUGUCCAUCUCCACAUAUUCUGCAGUUACUUGUAAUAUUUCUUUUUAUUAUUAUUAUUAUUAUUAUUAUUAUCAUUAUUAUUAUUAUUAUUAUUAUUAUUAUUAUUAUUAUUAUUAUUAUUAUUAUUAUUAUUAUUAUUGAGUGAGAGAGCAUUCCAUGUCACCAAAGUGACACUGGGUUAAAAGAUACGAAAACCCAGUAUACCUAUCGUGACUACCCGUUUGAUAAGGGUGCGGCAGGCAUCACAACCAUAUGUGCGCGACAUGAUGAUCUCAUAUCAAGAUAAACAGCGCAUGACCUUGCAGGUGGGGGCUCAGUUAGAGUUUUAUUCGUGUUGAGUCGCCAUGUUCCCAAAGAUAAGUUAUCCAAACCCUAAAAAAUUCUUCUUUGAUGCUCCCCGGCUACUUCUGCUCGCGAUCAGAGAUGCACAUAUCGUCAGCUAUUAAGGGACAUGCUCAACUGGUUAUGGUCAAACAACUGACAAGCAAAUAUGUGUUAUUGAGCAGAAUAUUUGCUGUAGCCCAUCUUUUAUCAUUAUUAUUAUUAUUGUUGUUGUUGUUGUUGAUGUUGCUUUCCUUCUUCAAAUUUUCUUCCGUUUCUCGCCGGGUGUUUUCCAUACACCUAGGGCAGAGAAGCUCAUUGUAUGCAUUCCCAGGUUACACACGCAAAUUCACAGGUAAAAUACGUAUUUAAAAAAUUAGUAAAUAAAUAGAUUCAUGAAUGGAUGUUGUUUUCACAGCGAUAAUGUUCUUCUCAGUAUAUGAAAACAAGAUCCAUUCAUGAAUUUAUUUAUUUAUUUAUUUAUUUUUUUAAAUACAUAUUUUACCUGUGAUUUGCCUGUGUAAUAUGGGAAUGCAUACAAAGAGCUUCACUCCCCUAAGUGUACGGAAAACACUCGGCGAGAAACGGAAGAAAAUUUGAAGAAAGAAGAAAAAAAAGAAAUAAUAAUAAUAAUAAUAAUAAUAAUAAUAAUAAUAAUAAUAAUAAUAAUAAUAAUAAUAAUGAUAAUAAUAAAAGAUGGGCUACAACAAAUAUGCUGCUCAAUACCACAUAUUUGCUUGUCAGUUGUUGGACAUUGACCAAUUGAGCAUGUCCCUUAAGAGCUGACAAUAUGCGCAUCUCUGAUUAUUAUUAUUAUUAUUAUUAUUAUUAUUAUUAUUAUUAUUAUUAUUAUUAUUAUUAUUAUUAUCAUCAUCAUCAUCAUUAUUAUUAUUAUUAUUAUUAUUAUUAUUAUUAUUAUUAUUAUUAUUAUUAUUAUUAUUAUUAUUUGUUUGACUUUUGCUUUACAUUUGUACAAGUUGGCUCCAAGUCUCACCCAGAGACCUCAAGAGACAACAAGUUGGAAGUUCAUGUUGUUGUUAUGCCUAUGUUGCCAUAUAUUUAGUUUUGUACUUAGUGUUGUACUAGUGAAUGCCUAAAGAACCAUACGAAAAUUAUGUUUGUUUUAAAACUUGAGAUUACAUAGAAAGUAUUUUGCGCAGGAUAUGAGCAGUUCCCAUGAGCACUAUCUUUUGAAUUUCUGCCAUUUUGGAGUUUCCUGGUAUCUGAGUUAAGUAGCAAUCAGCCCCUUUUGCUAUCAUUCCCUAUGACAACAGGUAUUGUUUUAGUCUUCAGGUUCCACAUUUUGCUAAUUUCUAUUUCAAGAUCUUUAUACUUGCUCAGUUUUUGGUAGGUCUUGACAGAUACGUUUAUAUCGAUUGGGACAGUCAUAUCAAUGAGGAGGCAUGUUCUUUGUCUGAAGUCUUUCAAUAUGAUGUCUGGCCUAUUUCCACCUAUCUUUCUAUCAGUUUGUAUGGUAAAGCUCCAGAGGAGUGAGAUGUGGUCAUUUUCAAGCACUGGAGGUGGUUUGUGUUCCCACCAGGUUUUUUUCAUGGGGCAUUUCCAGGUUUUUUGCAAAUUACCUAGUGAAUAUAUUCUGCAGCUCUAUCAUGCCUGUUGAGAUACUCUGUAGGCGUAAGAAAACUGCACUUGGAGACAACAUGAUCAAUGGUUUCAUUUUGUUGUUGACAUACACGACAUGUUGGGCUACUACCGUUCUUUAAUAUGUUGGCCUGGUAGUUCCUUAUAGGUAAGCAUUGAUCUUGAGCUGUUAUGAUAAACCCUUUUGUUUAAGAUUUUAAGCCAGAGGCCAUUAGCCAUUGAUGGAUCAGGGCUUUGUCAACAUCUGCAUUAUUCGCUCUCUUUGGAUAUUUGCCAUUGAGAGGUUUUUCUUGCCAUUUAUCAUUCAGAAUAUCUAAGGCAGCAGUUUUAGCACGGGUUUUCAUGCGCCUAGCUUUUUCUAUGCUUGUUUCUUGUAUGUCUAAAUCCGAAAUUUGUUGUAUUCGGAAUUCACUUAGAUAUUCCUUAACCUGUUUUGUUACUGAGUAUGAUGCUUUCUUGUUUUCACGUUUUGAGACAAGUUUUAACAUCCAGUCCUCAGAGUUUUUCAGGUAGGUGUCUAGGCCAAUUGUAGCAAUCUUCAUUGUUAUUGCCAGUUGUAACAGUCCACGGCCUCCCUCUUUUCUUGGCAGAUAGAGUCGUUCUAUAUCUGCCUUAGGGUGGUGCAUUCUAUGCAUUGUCAACAGUUUUCGUAUUUUUCUGUCAAGAUUACAUAUUUCAGUAAUUGACCAGUUAACGAUAUUGAGGCUGUAAGUCACGACUGGUAUGGCUAAAGCAUUGAUCGCUUAUCAUUAUUAUUAUUAUUAUUAUUAUUAUUAUUAUUAUUAUUAUUAUUAUAAUUAUUAUUAUUAUUAUUAUUAUUAUUAUUAUUAUUAUUAUUAUUAUUAUUAUUAUUAUUAAUAUUAUUAUUAUUAUUCCUGUCGAGGUCGAUUUUGCUUUUAUCAUUUCAGGGUCGAUUAGAUAAGUACUUCCCUUAAAUAUUUAGGCCUUGUGCCCAUCGUAGAAAAGAUUAUUUUGAGUAUAUCAAAACUACGUUACUCAUUGUAUUAAUGUACUCAGAAGUAGCAGCAACAGCUGCAGCAGCAGCAGCAGCAGCAGUAGUAGUAGUAGUAGUAGUAGUAGUAGUAGUAGUAGUAGUAGUAGUAGUAGUGAUGGUAGUGGUGGUGGUUGUAGUAGUAGUAGUAGUAGUAGUGGUGGUGGUGGUGGUGGUUGUGGUGGUGGUGGUGGUGGUAGUAGUAGUAGUAGUAGUAGUAGUAGUAGUGGUGGUGAUGGUGGUGGUGGUGGUUGUAGUAGUAGUGGUGGUGGUGGUGGUGGUGGUGGUGGUUGUGGUGGUGGUAGCGGUAGUAGUAGUAGUAGUAGUAGUAGUAGUAGUAGUAGUAGUAGUAGUAGUAGUUAAGUAGAGAAGUGACAAAUUUGUUGUAAUGUUUGUUCUGUUGGUAUUAGUAUUGUUGUUAUUGCUAAUCGGUCUCUUCCUACAGCUGAGGAGGAAUUGUGAUCUCGUUUUCACUCCAUAUUAGUAUAUCCUGUUCUCAAAUAUCUAAUGUGCCUUACAAUGGGACGUUGAAGGCGGCGCUGCUGAUAGAAACGUUGGCGGCAUUUUUUCCGACUUUACGUUCUGGGUUCAUAUUCCGCCGAGGUCAACUUUACUUUGCAGCCUUUAGAGAUUGAUAAAACAAGUACCAGUUGAGUACUGAGGUCGAUAUUAUCAACUCACCUCACUGACCAUUUGCCAAAAUUGGAAACCAUUAUCAAGGGAGGUUUGUCUAUCAUUUUUAGCUUCUCGUGUGUCUACUUAGAAUUUCAUUUGUUAGCUUCAUGCUGAUGAGGUUGAUGAUGAUGAUGAUGAGAGUGGUAGGUGUUUUGGGGAAAUGGUAACAGUACGGGUAGGGUUUGUAAUAGUUAUAGAGAUAGUGGUGGAGCUUCUUAUUUCUUAGUACACGGAAAAAAUACGAAAUAUAAUCUUUGAGAAGCAAAACUAAAAGAAAAACAAAGAAUAAUUAAUGAGAAAUUAAAUGAGUUAAAAUGUAAUUAAUAAAAAAUAAUUUAUACUGAACUUGAGGACAAUGGCAGCGACAAAAGUUAAUCCAUCAAUAAUGAAAAAUUCAGCUACAAACAUAAAGACUAUAUUGAAUCGUAUAUUUGAAUAUGAGAGUGAGUGGUCAAAGCUAGUGAAACGGCUUUCGUCAAUGUUCUGUUGGAUCACAUUUGACUUUGAGCUAAACAAAUACUGGAGUCGACUCCUACUACUAAGCUCUGUAGGUGGUUUGCUCCGUCGAGGCUGAUCUGGGGCAAAAUAAUUACUGUAAUCACCUCACAGUAUAACGUCUAUAAGCUUGCAGCGCCAGACUGAACAUAACAAACUACAGCGAUCCCCUAUGCAGUUGCUUCAUUUGUAAAUAAUAGUCAGAUCUACCCACAAAAUCACAACCAAGAGAGAAGACAAACAGCAGGGAAAGAAGAGAUAAAGCAGUCUCACCACCAUUUAUUAUAGAAAAAGCAGCAGCAGCAGCAAUAGCAACAGCAAAAAGAGCGAAAAUAUAAAUAAAAAGUGAAAAUAUUUAUUAACGGUUGGGUCAAAUAUAAGUAUUUUGCAAAACAGCAGAUG